GGAAGUCCUUAAGGAAAGAAACAAAAGAAAAUCAAUAGGAAACGAGGAAGUCCAGCAAGGGGAAAAUGAAGCAUGCCCAAAUACAUUUUUUUGGCCUGCAGUUGUCCUUGAAUUAGUAGAUUUAGUUUUGAAGCCCUCAACUGGAGGACCUCCACCCCUUCCAGAGUAUGGUGAUGCGGUACAGCUUUCACUACUUCAGUUUCUUUUGGUUUUAUUUUUGCUGCUUGAAAUGCUGUGUUAUAUAUAUAUAUAUAUUUGGCCAUUAUUCUUGAUUAAAAAAAAUUGCUGUCAAGAUUUUCUUUUAAAUAUUUAAGAAACAUUUGGCCAUUAUUCUUGAUUAAAAAAAUUCUUCUAGAUAUUGUCAGACAGGAAGUCCUUAAGGAAAGAAACAAAAGAAAAUCAAUAGGAAACGAGGAAGUCCAGCAAGGGGAAAAUGAAGCAUGCCCAAAUACAUUUUUUUGGCCUGCAGUUGUCCUUGAAUUAGUAGAUUUAGUUUUGAAGCCCUCAACUGGAGGACCUCCACCCCUUCCAGAGUAUGGUGAUGCGGUACAGCUUUCACUACUUCAGUUUCUUUUGGUUUUAUUUUUGCUGCUUGAAAUGCUGUGUUAUAUAUAUAUAUAUAUUUGGCCAUUAUUCUUGAUUAAAAAAAAUUGCUGUCAAGAUUUUCUUUUAAAUAUUUAAGAAACCUGCAAUCCUCAGAAAACUUUCAUAUGGCUUUGUGUGACAUAUUUGUUAACAUGCAUCUUAGGUUUCGAUUUAAUUCCUAACUAGGAGCGAUUCUAUUAUUGAAUUUCUUUAUUUUCUGCCAUGUGCCUCAUUUAUAUCACUGCAGGCUAGUUGAAUGCUCAUCUUUCUUAACCAAAUUUUUUCCUUUUUUUUUCGUUUGCAUGACGUGUCUGCUGCUGUGAUG
rnacentral:lncRNA from 1 species